rnacentral:rRNA from 1 species
UACGGAGGGGGGCUAGCGUUGUUCGGAAUUACUGGGCGUAAAGCGCACGUAGGCGGCUUUGUAAGUUAGAGGUGAAAGCCCGGAGCUCAACUCCGGAACUGCCAUUGAAACUGUUGGACUUGAGUACGAGAGAGGUGAGUGGAAUUCCCAGUGUAGAGGUGAAAUUCGUGAGAUAUUGGGAAGAACACCGGGUGGCGAAGGCGGCUAUCUGGGACCGUAACUGACGGCUGAGGCGCGAAAGCGUGGGGAGCAAACAGG